rnacentral:ncRNA from 1 species
UUAACUUCAAGGACAAGAACAAGUAAGUCAUGCGAUGCGAUCCACAGAGAGUUGGCGAGAGCUGUGAGCCAAUGUUCGGCGCAUGAUUGAACUCCUCUUCGAGAAGCUCAGCUGAACCGGAAGUAAGCUGAGACGGUUUUCCACCGUUAUUUGGAAAUCACGUCUUCAUCACGUGAGCAGAGCGCAUAAUGCCUCAGCACAAUUCCUGAGCGCUUUAUGAACAUGGGUGGUAUCGCGGAAUUAAUCCGUCCCUUAC